rnacentral:lncRNA from 1 species
UGCACCUAUUUAAUUCAAUACCACAUCAUAGGCGUGUCAGAAAUUCUCGAGCUCGUCAAGAGAAGUGUUAAAUACAAAAAUAUGAAAACACCAUUCUCGAUCAAUUUAAACUUUUGAAGAAAAUAAUUGUUUCCCAUAUUUUAACAUGUUAUCAGAGCAGAAAGUUCUGAAUUUGAGUCACAUCAGGCUCCUAGCAUAAUUGAUUUCUUUUCAUUUAAUUCAAGUCCACAUCAUAUGCCAAUAAAAAAAAAUCAAGCUUAGACGUGAAAGAGAUCAAUGUUAAAUAUGAAAAUGUUGUUUUCUAUCAGUUUAAGCUUCUGAAAAAUAACGAUUAUGUCAUAUACUGCUAAUUACUUUUCUAAAAACACAUAAUCUUUUAAUGGUCCAAAAGAGUGGAGGAGACAGAGGUACUUAAGAUGGAGCAGUUCAUUAAACUAUCUCCAAGGAGGGAAGAUAUAUAAUUGAUGGAAAUUAAAGAGGAAUUAAAGGGUCUUUGGGUGGUGAGUAAUUGGGGGGCAUCAAAGGGGUGGGAAUUGGAACAGGUUGAA